AGUCGACGCUUUUUCUUUCCCGGAGCUUGCUCCACCGAAAGAAAAAGAGUGGCGAACGGGUGAGUAACACGUGGGUAACCUGCCCAUCAUAAGGGGAUAACACUUGGAAACAGGUGCUAAUACCGUAUAACACUAUUUUCCGCAUGGAAGAAAGUUGAAAGGCGCUUUUGCGUCACUGAUGGAUGGACCCGCGGUGCAUUAGCUAGUUGGUGAGGUAACGGCUCACCAAGGCAACGAUGCAUAGCCGACCUGAGAGGGUGAUCGGCCACACUGGGACUGAGACACGGCCCAGACUCCUACGGGAGGCAGCAGUAGGGAAUCUUCGGCAAUGGACGAAAGUCUGACCGAGCAACGCCGCGUGAGUGAAGAAGGUUUUCGGAUCGUAAAACUCUGUUGUUAGAGAAGAACAAGGAUGAGAGUAAAAUGUUCAUCCCUUGACGGUAUCUAACCAGAAAGCCACGGCUAACUACGUGCCAGCAGCCGCGGUAAUACGUAGGUGGCAAGCGUUGUCCGGAUUUAUUGGGCGUAAAGCGAGCGCAGGCGGUUUCUUAAGUCUGAUGUGAAAGCCCCCGGCUCAACCGGGGAGGGUCAUUGGAAACUGGGAGACUUGAGUGCAGAAGAGGAGAGUGGAAUUCCAUGUGUAGCGGUGAAAUGCGUAGA
rnacentral:rRNA from 1 species